rnacentral:rRNA from 1 species
CAUAAUCUCUGAGGAGAAAAGCAGGGGAUCACAAGACCUUGCGCUUUUGGAGCGGCUGAUGUCUGAUUAGCUAGUUGGUGAGGUAAAGGCUUACCAAGGCUUCGAUCAGUAGCUGGUCUGAGAGGACGACCAGCCACACUGGGACUGAGACACGGCCCAGACUCCUACGGGAGGCAGCAGUGGGGAAUUUUGGACAAUGGGGGCAACCCUGAUCCAGCCAUGCCGCGUGAGUGAAGAAGGCCUUCGGGUUGUAAAGCUCUUUCAGCCGGAACGAAACGGUCACGGUUAAUAACUGUGAUCACUGACGGUACCGGAAGAAGAAG